GAUGAACGCUGGCGGCGUGCCUAAUACAUGCAAGUCGAGCGAACAGACGAGGAGCUUGCUCCUCUGACGUUAGCGGCGGACGGGUGAGUAACACGUGGAUAACCUACCUAUAAGACUGGGAUAACUUCGGGAAACCGGAGCUAAUACCGGAUAAUAUAUUGAACCGCAUGGUUCAAUAGUGAAAGACGGUUUUGCUGUCACUUAUAGAUGGAUCCGCGCCGCAUUAGCUAGUUGGUAAGGUAACGGCUUACCAAGGCAACGAUGCGUAGCCGACCUGAGAGAGUGAUCGGCCACACUGGAACUGAGACACGGUCUAGACUCCUACGCGAGGCAGCAGUCGGGAAUCUUCCGCAAUGGGCGAAAGCCUGACGGAGCAACGCCGCGUGAGUGAUGAAGGUCUUCGGAUCGUAAAACUCUGUUAUUAGGGAAGAACAAAUGUGUAAGUAACUAUGCACGUCUUGACGGUACCUAAUCAGAAAGCCACGGCUAACUACGUG
rnacentral:rRNA from 1 species